AAGGAAACAAAAAAAUAUGUCCAAUGCGGUGGUCUGCUAUGAAUUUAUAUUAGCAAAAAUUGAUGCAACCCGCCUAAAAAAAAAGUCUUAGGUUUGUUUACCUGUGUGCAUAGGAUGAAUGGCAAAGGCAAUUUAGAAUGAGUUAAUAAACUUCGCUAAACCAGUGUUACUGAAUUUAACAUUAUUUGCAAAUGACCAAGUGAUUUGAAAAGCAAUCCAAGUUUGAAAAUUAAAAAAAAAAAAAGUUUAUGUGUUCCGUUCAGUCCAAAAUAGGUUUUCUUUCCUAAACCUCAAGCCGAGAAAACAGACAAAAGAAAGUGAUUUGACUGAGCUGUGCCAAGUCUUGCCUCCCCCCUUUCCUCUUCUCCGUCUAUUUCUCGUUCCCAGCAUGGCAACCAUCCCAAUUCUUAGUUGUCUUGGCAAUGGUCCAACCCAUGCCAGUCUGAAGCCUCAUUUCCAAAAGAUGCCCUUUGCGGAUCAGUACAUAUAUUAAAGAGGG